AGGACGAACGCUGGCGGCGUGCUUAACACAUGCAAGUCGAGCGGUAAGGCCUCCUUCGGGGGGUACACGAGCGGCGAACGGGUGAGUAACACGUGGGUGACCUGCCCUCAGCUCUGGGAUAAGCCUGGGAAACCGGGUCUAAUACCGGAUAGGACCAUGGCCUGCAUGGGUGGUGGUGGAAAGCUAUUUGCGGUGUGGGAUGAGCCUGCGGCCUAUCAGCUUGUUGGUGGGGUGAUGGCCUACCAAGGCUGCGACGGGUAGCCGGCCUGAGAGGGUGUCCGGCCACGACUGGGACUGAGACACGGCCCAGACUCCUACGGGAGGCAGCAGUGGGGAAUAUUGCGCAAUGGGCGAAAGCCUGACGCAGCGACGCCGCGUGAGGGACGAAGGUCUUCGGGUUGUAAACCUCUUUCAGCAGGGACGAAGCGAGAGUGACGGUACCUGCAGAAGAGCACCGGCCAACUACGUGCCAGCAGCCGC
rnacentral:rRNA from 1 species